ACACUUAUCUGACAGGAAUAUAAUGAUCAUGAAGGUGGUUUUCCAGGGUUAAGCAUAUUCAUUGUGGUCUGGAUGUGCUGACCCCUGCAAUUUCCCCAAAUGAGGGACAUUUGACUUCACAAUUUAUGGCAAUGGAAGACUCUGUUCAAGUUCUCUAU